rnacentral:rRNA from 1 species
CCUACGGGUGGCAGCAGUCGAGAAUCAUUCACAAUGGGGGCAAGUCUGAUGGUGCGACGCCGCGUGGGGGAAUGAAGGUCUUUGGAUUGUAAACUCCUGUCAUGUGGGAGCAAAUUCAAAAGAUAGUACCACUCGAGGAAGAGACGGCGAACUCGGUGCCAGCAGCCGCGGUAAUACAGCGGGGUCAAGCGUUGUUCGGAAUCACUGGGCGUAAAGGGUGCGUAGGCUGUCUCGUAAGUCGUGUGUGAAAGGCGCGGGCUCAACUCGCGAAUGGCACUUGAUACUGGGAGGCUAGAGAGUUGGUGCGGGAGGCGGAAUGUAUGGUGUAGCAGUGAAAUGCGUAGAGAUC